AACUGGUCCAAUGAUAGUGAGUUAUCAGAACUUAUUCACAUUAGUGUCACUAAAGUUGGUAUACAACCCUCCACUGCUAAAUUUGACUGGCUAAAA
rnacentral:Y_RNA from 1 species